UUUUUUUCUUUUUCUUUUUCCUGUGGAUGAAACCAGAAAAUUCCCAUCCAAACAAAAAACUGAAAUGCUAAUUUUAAAAUUAUCAAGACAAAGGUUCUGAAGCAAGUGGGCUGGCAAGAAAUGACAUAUUUUUGUGGAACUUCACACAGCAUCCAUUGAAGAGUGGACAAGCACAAUGUGCUUAUACAAGAGCUGCCUUUUUCAUUCCGUGUUUCUGCCUGGAAAAACCCUCAGACUCUGACUGCUCUCUUCUUCCUCCCCCUUCAUCCCAUUCUCCACUUUUUUUCUUAGGGUCCCAGCAGCUCUGCAGCCCCAGCAUGAACCUCAGAGCUGCCCAAGAGAGGAGGCACAAGCUGCUGCACGGAUGUGGGGGCGUCCUGCAGGCAGAACCUCCAACCAAGCCAUCCCAUGGGAUGAGCUCCCAGUUGCCCAGCUGGGACACAAUCAAACCCCACUGUUCCCCCAUCCAUGAGGGGUUCCCAUGUGGUGUCACUGCCAGGCUAAGGGACACUGAAGGCUUUCCCCACCGUGAGCAGGACUCUGGGACCCGGCAGCUGCUCUCACCUCUGCUCAGGGACAGACACUGGGAACUGUCGGAGCUCCCCGAAGGGCUCAGCUCCAAAGGCUGCUGAACAUUCUGAUUCCUGAGCUGCCCUCCCAGACCCUGCUCAGCAAACCAUUUCUCACUGCAUUAAGGGGAAUUUAAGAAUGUGCUUAUGCAUUUCGAUGAACAGAGAGAGCCUGCUGAAUCAAAGGAACUACUGAGAGCAGAGGACCUUAAAAAUAAUGAUUUUUUUUUCCUGUAAAAGUAUCUGUUAUUUAUUCCCAAGUUCUUAUCUUGUUUAUAACAAAGAAUGAACAAAAUUCCUUUCCCAAGGCUGGAUGGUCCUGGAGCAUAUCCACACCAAACAGGGAUAAAAAUAAGCUUCGUUUUAGACAGAAUAAAUAAGCAAAUGCUUCUUAGUCUCCUGCCUUCUAUCUCUAUUUUUUUUUUUUGUAUUCCUCUGUACACAGCAAGAAUAAGGUGUUAUGGCCUUAUCCAGAAUCUGCUGGACUUCAUGGAGCUCUUUCCGUUGUCUUGAAUGGAUUUUGGAGCAGACCUGGUGACAGAGUCACCAAUAUCUUUAUAGAGGCUUCUCAUCUACUGUCUAGAAAAAGGAAUAUUAUUAAAAUACCAUCGCAACACAUGACCUCCAGGAACUGUCAAUAUUCUAAUUUAAAAUUACCCUGUUUUCUUGCUGAACAUUCUUUAGGAGGACCAAAUCUGUAGCACUGGAUAGGCUUCCAACUUCUGGCUCAUUUUAUAGACAAUCUUUAAACAACAAUUUCCUCUGAAGUACAACACACAUGAAGGUAAAAACAGUAGCUUCCAAACAUCAUAAACCAUCUUUAAGAUGAAUGUGCCCCAAACCAGAAGUCCCUGUGGUUGCAAUAAGGAUGUUUGCUGCUGGUGGUUUUUGGCACAGCCUGGCAAGGUGGGGGUGGUGGGGUCCUGGCCUCUCCCCUGAUGAACCCAGCUGAUAAAGCCACCAUGGCUUUGGUGAGACUGGGGAACACAAAAUGCCCAUAUGCCCUUUAAUUUCAGCUGAUGAGUUUCACACGAUUGAGCUGGGACACUUUUGCCACCAAGGCCCUGACCCAGCUGUCACUGCUGCCACACUGGAGGGCUGCUGUGGAGUAUUCCCACAGUGGGACAAGCUGAUGGCUCCUGUGCCACCCAAGUCCCACAGGUGGAUACAUUUCUCUGUUUGAUAGUGAUUUUCCAGACCCUUAAGUGCUACC
rnacentral:lncRNA from 1 species